rnacentral:rRNA from 1 species
GACGAACGCUGGCGGCGUGCUUAACACAUGCAAGUCGAACGGAAAGGCCCUGCUUUUGUGGUGUUCUCGAGUGGCGAACGGGUGUGUAACACGUGAGUAACCUGCCCUUGACUUUGGGAUAACUUCAGAACACUGGGUCUAAUACCGGAUAGGAGCUCCUGCUGCAUGGUGUGGGUUGGAAAGUUUCGGCGGUUGGGGAUGGACUCGCGGCUUGUCAGCUUGUUGGUGGGGUAGUGGCUUACCAAGGCUUGGGCGGGUAGCCGGCCUGAGAGGUGGACCGGCACAAUUGGGACUGAGUUAGGGCCCAGACUCCAACGGGAGGAAGCAGUGGGGAAUAUUGAACAAUGGGCGGAAGCCUGAUCCAGGAAGGCCGCGUGCGGGAUGACGGCCUUCGGGUUGUAAACCGCUUUCGCAUGUGACGAAGCGUGAGUGACGGUAAUGGGUAAAGAAGCACCGGCUAACUACGUG